AUUCAACAACAGGGAGGGUCUAUUGUUAAUGUAGGAAGCAUUGUUGGCUUAAAAGGCAAUUCUGGCCAGUCCGUUUACAGUGCCAGUAAAGGAGGAUUAGUUGGAUUUUCACGUGCUCUUGCUAAAGAGGUAGCAAGAAAGAAAAUUAGAGUGAAUGUAGUUGCACCAGAACUCAUCCCAAGAACAGUAUCCAUAAGGAAGAUGGAAAAAGGGGACAGAAUAAAUGUUACCCUAAGAAGUCCAGCGCAACAUGGUACCUGAUUAGCUGUUUCCUCUUCUGGCUCCUGAAUAUUAAAGACAGUUGCACUGUCAGCACCUAGUAGUCGACGAGCCAUUCUUUCUUCGUAUGUUAACCUCUAAACAAAGCAUGAUCUUACUCUUGAUUGUAGCCACCCAUAAAGAAAAGCAUAUCUCUAAUCUCAGAAGCACAAGGAGCUCAUACCAGGAAACCAAGAUUAGUAAGUAUUUUUGUGGUGAAUACCUUUUGAAUAAGACAGGAUUAAUGUAACAGUUAAAAGUAUAGAAAUAUAAAAGUUACGAACUUA
rnacentral:sRNA from 1 species